UAGAAAAUGACAGUGAACAUAAUGAUCAGAAAAUCAUGUGAAAUAGGAAGCGGGAAGGGGCUCAUAGGAGGAAUUUUUGGGUUUUGGCCGCGGCAACUCUGCCGGGUUUUGCUUAAAAUUAUUGGCUCACUCGCUGCCCCUCUUGAUCCAUAUGGCCAUAGGGAGGUUUGAAAUCGAAUUCUGAGUGGGUAGGGGAAAAUUUUACCUUUUUUGACAGUCGGUGAUGGCUCUAGUGCGGUGCCUGGUUCUUCUUCU
rnacentral:lncRNA from 1 species